rnacentral:misc_RNA from 1 species
GAAAGGUACAAAAUAUAUUAAUAUUAUCGAAAAUUCUUGAAAACUGUGGACUCCUACUUGCCAUCUUGUUAAAGCCCCAAGUAGGCGUAAAAUGAAGCCUUUUGUUAUAAUAUAAGCUUCUUUUAUCAUCAUAUUCUAUCAAAAAAGAAAAGAAAACGUAGCCUCCUGCUAUGUAUAGUGAAGGAAAGGAUUGCUAGAGGUUGUUACCAUCCUCCUAUGAGUUCUGAAAAGAUGCUUGAACUGUCUCUGGCUCGAAAUAAAAAAUGAUGUAAAAUUAUUCCCCUUGUUCUUAAUGGAUUUUUCCCCUUGUUCUUAAUGGCCUUCUAUGAGCCUUUGUGCUGGGAGCCCGGAAAUGAAAUAACAGUUUGAACUUUGAUGCAGCAAUGAAACAUCCCCAUUAUAGUAUAGAGCCUUUGUAGCUCGUCUUUGUAGCCUAUCCUCUUCAUAUAUAAUCUUCAAAGCCUACAUAGCAAAGCCUUAUUGAAUAUAUCCAAAUCUCAAAUUUCCAUGAACUGAAAAGGCAAUGAUUAGUGUGUUAAACUUUAACAUUCUUAUUUUUCCUCGUCUAUAAGAUGGAUAUAUUACUUAACAUGUAAUUUCCUGCCUUACAAACUUUUAGUUUGUUUUAUGUGCGUGCCUUUCUUCAGCCACCUCCUAUUAAACCAUUGGACAACCAGUUGAAUUUGGCAGAC